rnacentral:miRNA from 1 species
AAUGCCCAGUCUGAUUCCACUUGUUAAAAUAAUAGUUCAAAGCACAUGCAAAAUGCUUAUUUGCUAUUAGAAGGCAGGAUUGUGGUUACUCUUUAGGAAAUGGUGACUGGAAGGGAGAACAAUUUCAACUUCUUGAGUGCUGAUAAUAUUU